GUGGAUGUGGAAGUAAGAUUGUCUCAGAACAUUGUUCUUUUGUUCCUUUCACUAUUUUCAUAUUUCAUAGGGAUCGGCAGUCAAGAGCCACAAGUCUUUUGCAAGUUGAAAUCAGAAUCUCCCUGACAACCGCAUUCUAAUUCAUCAUGCAAGUGUGGAUCCGGCAAGUGCUGCUGCGGCACCACCUGUAAUUGCACCACUUGUCCGAGCAAGCAGUCGUGCUCCUGCAACGAUGGAGCAUGCGGAUCUGCGUGCCAGUGCAAAACCUCCUGUUGCUGUGGCGCGGACUGUAAGUGCAGUCCGUGCCCGAUGAAGUAAAGCGCCACGUCACUUGAGCCUCAAGGA